UGUGAUACUCAUCGCUAUUUGCUUCAAUUUCCCCUAACGAAUGGUUGGCGGCAAUAAUUUUUGUAAUUGCUUAGCAUAUUUCUAUAUAACUAUUCAAUUUUUGAACCAUAAGUAUGUACAACAAGUAAAGGCUUCUAAGAAGUUACUCCCACAGUCCAUAUUAAGUGUGGCUCUUAUGGAGGUAUUUAGGCAUAUUUUAGUGUUAGAUACAUCAGUUUGUGCGAUACUUAAUAUGAAACGGAGGGAAUAUUAGUUAAUAAAAAUCGGGACGUGCACACUUUUUAUCCUGAUGCUUGAACGCCAUGGACUGUUGCCUGUACGUUGUUGCACUUAUUUUUUUCCCACCACAGCAACAUAAAUUGUAGUUAUCAUGUCGGGUUGUCUUUAUUUUUCAUCACAUAGGUACGUAAGGUUGGAACUUGGAGGUUGUCCGUGAGGACUCUCCUUUUUUUACACGUCAUUGAGGACUCUUACAUCUACAUGAUCCUUUAAUCUUUAUUACAACUGUUACAGUGAUUGGCGAUUUUAGGGACCGUCCAUUCGCUGCGAUCAAACGGUGGAGAAAUAGGAGUUACAGGAGUUAUGGGAGUAAAAUUACAUGAAAUUACAAAUAAUUGUGGGACCAUUACAAGAUUAUGGUGAGGCUAAUCAUUUUCUAAAAGGGUAGAUCCGUCCAAUUUAGUGUGCAUCGCUGGGAGAAAAGGAAAAAAAAACCUCUGCACGCUUCGUCCCCAAUCUAUCGAUCCCCUCUCCGCUUGCCUCCUCCUCUCCCGGGUCGCUCGCCGCCGGCUCAGCCGCUUCUUCUGCGCCUUCUCCUCCCCGCUCCCCAGACCGGCAUCCAGCGCAGGAGGAUCCGGGUGGUCAUGGUGGCGGCAUCUUUAGCGGCCUCGCCGGAUUGUUAGCCUCCUCAAUCCCCUCACACAGGCGCCGCCGCCAAGCCUGCCCUCGACCGUGUUGCUGCCGGCGUCCCUCCUGUCGCUCGUGCCGCCGCGGCCACUGACCCUCGCACAGCCGCAGCCGCAACCGCCUGCUCUUCUCUGCUGCCCCAGUGCCCCGAGCAUCGCCCCGUCGAAUAGGUGCUCCACAAGGCAGCGCCUCCUCCCUGGAUCAGCCACUGACGGCCAUCAACGCCGGCGACCCAAUCCAUAGGAAGGUAACCCCGGGGCUUAAUCUUCCGCUGCCGCUGCAGCCGAGGACAGCCCUGUUUUUUAUGUACAUCCUCUGACCCGUUAUCCUGCGCAGUCGUCCGCUGUGGCCGAGGACGGAGAAGGUCCCGUGUCUAUAACUGUCGCUAGCUGUCCUGUCAAGCUUCCCGCCCACUACGAGUAUCCCUCCCAGCCCCUGCGCCGCUGUCUGCCUUCGACGAUUCCGCACGCCUGUAGGCGACAGUGGAACAAAUUCAGACAUUCAAAGAUAUCCGUCCGUCAGAAUAUUCAGGUGUCAGAGAUGUCAUUCUCACGCAACAGUCACCUACACCUAUGUUUGAAUCGGCUUAAGGAUGCUGCGAACGACAUCUCCGACAUGCUUGAAGAUUUUGAAGAUGAAACCGACUUCAACCUGGUGUGCAAGAUUAUGUCGAUUUGUGAAGUAGAUCUGAACCUCACUGUUGGAGUUGAUCUUUGAGUCGAUGUUAAGUAAAAGCUGCUUCUACUUGUUGAUGCCAAGACCACCUUUAGUGGGCAGCCACGAUGAAGAAGAUUAAGAUGCCACGUAAGAUGAGAUCGAUGCAAAAGCGCCUACAAAAGAUGGACCGUGAUAGUUAUGGUGUUCAGCCAGAAACUCGCUGCGAGGAGCGGCAAGUUCCUGACAUCCGGGAAACAGCAGGAUAUGUGGAGGAGGCAGAAAUCAUCUGGAGGGCUGAUGACGAAAGGAAAAUCUUGGAUUGCAUAUCUGGGAGCAAUAGUUAUUUCCCUCUGCUUUCGAUCACAGUGAUUGGAGUCAGUAAGUAGUGAUUAGAGUCAGUAGGAGAGGCUGGCAUUUGACAAUACAGUUCAGUGUGUGCAUUGACUGCCGGUGCUGCAGCCUGAAAAUUUUCUUGUGGAGUGGACCGAAGUAAUCCAUCGAGCUAGCUGCAUUAUUGAUUCUGUCCUUUUUGCUGGCGAGGUAAUAAUCUCCCACUCAACUCGUGAUGUGAGAGAUAGUAGUGUAACCAUGAUAUUUACAUCAUUGCUCAUGUGUUCUAUAUGCUAUGAUUUUUCUUCCUUAAUUACCCUGCCUCAGCUGUAAUCAUCAUCCACUUAAACCAGAAUUGCAUACUUACGCAGUGUAUGGCGCCGUAUAGAAUGGGGAGCAUGCGUUUGUAAGUAGUCACUUAUGAUAGUGUUUUAAAUGUAAGAUACUCCGAUGCAGAUAGGUUUGUAUUAGAUGGUGCAAAUGAUAGAAGUGGAACAUGCAGCUCAUUAGCUGGGUUUUUUUUAAAGAACCAAUGAAAAGACAAGCAUUUGGAUGGACAUAAGCGUACAAAUAAUAUGAAAAAACAUCAGAACAUAAGUGCAGUCUUUCAUUAAAGAACAUGCUAUGAAGAUCAAUCAUUUGGAACUUCCCUUGAAGUGCCUCUCUGUGUAGCCCAUUCAUGGCUGUACGAAUGGGCUGGACACGGCGUUUGAUGGUUUGCGCUUGCAUCUUUUCAACUCCACUUUUUUAGCGAUAGUCUCGGUGUCAAAUUGUUGUUUCACUGGAUUACUAGCAGGGGCAUUCUUCCUCGGGCGUCCACGUUUACGCUUUGGGGCACCGGAUGUCUCUGGUUUGUUUGUAACAUCAGGGUUGAUGACAAUCGUGGCAUCGUCGUCUGCACCUUUUCGUUCCUCUGGAAUGCUGGCUUCGUACUCGUCCUUUUGUAGAGGAAAUAGUGGUGUGUUACAUGCAAUCAUGAAAGGUAGGAACUAGAUGACAUGAAGUGCUAGUUGUGUAGAACUUACCGCUAUAGGAUCCUUGUACGAUUUUUUUCCGAAGCUUGUUGCAAUCUGAAUGCAGCAGGCUUGAACAUAUUUUCCAGCUGAAAAUAUGUAUUAGUGCCUGAAUUAGAUAGCGACGCAUAGGUUAGGAUAGCGGUGAAGCAUAGGUAGUGCAUGAUUGCAAAGGUAAUUUAGUGUUUGGUAGACCUGUGUGAAAUCCUUGGUAAUUUUAUCUCUGUCCCAUGUCAACAUGUAUCUGAGUGUGUACGCCCCGCAGGAAUACCUGUGAUGUAAAGUUGAAGAUAAGUAUUGUAGUGUAGGUGAGGAAUCAUAUAGCUGCCUAUACGUACCCAUCCAUCUGUUGUGGUAUGUUAGUAUAGGAAGUGGUUUUCCACUGGGUAAUAUUGAUGGGUUUAGGCGGUGUUACCAAGCCAUCCUCGACCGCUUCGUUGAUACACGCCUGAAUGGAUUCCACCUGGUGUACGAGGAGUAAUUCAAGGGAUGUCUUGGUCCAACUCCUUAUUUUGCACCACGGAUUUUAUAGGUGUUCCAGCAGAAGUCCAUCCUUUCUAUGCGUCAAACCCAGGAGUUGAUGAAAACUUGCCAUUCCUGGUUGCUCUUGUUCCUAAAAUUAGAAGUUGGUCAAUGAACAGAAAUUAGCUCAUGUUAGCAAGGUGAUGGGCCAUAGUUAUCACCUGUACGUAUGCAUUCUUCGUCGUUGAUUGUUUGUUUGUUUGAACCACAGAUCUUAAUUCCUGUAACAUGAAAUGCAUAGAAUCAAAAUAUAGGAAGUUAUGGGUAAAAUUGAUGUUGUAGUGUCACUUACCUGGAGUUCCCUUUUGAGGUCUCCAACUUCGUCCUCCAGCUUGGACAACCUAGGUUGAGUGGCAAUUUUACCCCUUAUGUUUAUCAAGUUCUCGGCGAGGGUGAUUAUUCUUUUAUCUAAUUUGUGCUCUACUUCUACUACUUGUUUGACCAACUUUUUCUCUUGUUCUGCAAAUAGAUCGUUCUAGGUUUGAAGUAUCAUGUCCAUCUGUGUACAAGAAAUGUCAACUCGUCGGAGAGACACUGACUUCAUCUUUGUUAGCCCUCCAAGACCAGUUUUAGUGCAGAUGGCCUUUUGGUGCUUGUCAUCUAAUCGAUCAAUUAUUUCCGCAAACCUUAUCGAUGAGCACAUUAACCUCAUAUUUGCAUGUUUCACACUGAGUUCGUCCAAAAAAGCCUGAAAUACAUGUGAAGGUAAAAGAACUAUGUGUUUUCAAAGAUUUUAAUCUAACUGGGAAUAAUAUACCUGAUUGGUUACGUCUGGUAGUGGUAAUUGUGUGUCGGCACAACUUUUAGAAGAACUGGCCAUUCCUGGAAAAUAUGCACAAACAGAGACUGGGUCAAUUCAGAGAAUAAACAUAAGCUAUGGGGUUCUACCAUACUAUAAUUGUUCCACCUGUUUCUUACGGAGCACAAAAUUACUAUGAUAAGCUAUUUAAUUUAAUUACUUCUUUGUUACUAUACCGCUCGAGAGGUGAAUGUUUACGACACAGAUGUAUGUGUUCUUUAUUUUGUCAAUCUGGGUUUAUAGCCCUAUUAUGUGCACACAUUUGAUUCUAUUUAUUUGAAGGGAUUAUAAUUUA